GCUCACGCUAACGAGCUCCACCUGCCCGGGUUUUUUGCUCGGAGUUUGCUCUCCUAGGUGAACUGCUCACGCUAACGAGCUCCACCUGCCCGGGUUUGUUGUUCGGAGUUUGCUCUCCUAGGUGAACUGCCUACCACGGCUAACGAGCCUCACCUGCCCGGGUUUGUUUAGAGUUUGCUCUCCUAGGCAGAUUGCCUACCACGGCUAACGAGCUCCACCUGCCCGGGUUUAUUGUUCGGAGUUUGCUCUCCUAGGCAGACUGCCUACCACGGCUAACGAGCUCCACCUGCCCGGGUUUGUAACCGGAAGAUCUCCGGCACCUCCGUCGGGGCCCCGAGGGACGCCGAGGAGCCCUGCCUGGAGCCCUCCAGUCCUGCCAUGCUCGCCAGGGAGACCUUGGGCUCGCUGGCGCUCCACACCCCCGCCGAGGUGAGGAUGCAAGAACUCGCUUCUUAAAACUACCAGACUGGAUUAUAAAAUUAAUGAUAAUUACUGUGAAGGCGCCGGUCACCGCGUUUAUCGGUUCAGGGAUGGAAGACCGACGGGCCUGGGAAACGCGCACAAGCAUCCAAAGGAAUCCUCGCGACGGCUUGCG